rfam:Camelus ferus unplaced genomic scaffold scaffold812, whole genome shotgun sequence.
GUGGGUAUAGCUCAGUGUAGGGUGACUGCUUAGCAUGCAUGAAGUCCUGGGUUCAAUCCCCAGUACUUCCA